UACAGAGGUCUCAAGCGUUGUUCGGAUUCAUUGGGCGUAAAGGGUGCGUAGGCGGCGCGGUAAGUCGGGUGUGAAAUUUCGAGGCUUAACUUCGAAACUGCAUUCGAUACUGCCGUGCUAGAGGACUGGAGAGGAGACUGGAAUUUACGGUGUAGCGGUGAAAUGCGUAGAUAUCGUAAGGAAGACCAGUGGCGAAGGCGGGUCUCUGGACAGUGCCUGACGCUGAGGCACGAAGGCCAGGGGAGCAAACGGG
rnacentral:rRNA from 1 species